rnacentral:rRNA from 2 species
UUGAACGCUGGCGGCAGGCUUAACACAUGCAAGUCGAGCGGGGAAAAGUAGCUUGCUACUUGACCUAGCGGCGGACGGGUGAGUAAUGCUUAGGAAUCUGCCUAUUAGUGGGGGACAACAUCUCGAAAGGGAUGCUAAUACCGCAUACGUCCUACGGGAGAAAGCAGGGGACCUUCGGGCCUUGCGCUAAUAGAUGAGCCUAAGUCGGAUUAGCUAGUUGGUGGGGUAAAGGCCUACCAAGGCGACGAUCUGUAGCGGGUCUGAGAGGAUGAUCCGCCACACUGGGACUGAGACACGGCCCAGACUCCUACGGGAGGCAGCAGUGGGGAAUAUUGGACAAUGGGGGGAACCCUGAUCCAGCCAUGCCGCGUGUGUGAAGAAGGCCUUUUGCUUGUAAAGCACUUUAAGCGAGGAGGAGGCUACCGAGAUUAAUACUCUUGGAUA